ensembl:rRNA 5S_rRNA 5S ribosomal RNA
GCUUACGGCCAUACCAACCUGGCGAUGCCCGAUCUCGUCUGAUCUCAGAAGCUAAGCAGGUUUGGGCCUGGUUAGUACUUGGAUGGGAGACCGCCUGGGAAUACCAGGUGCUGUAAACU